rnacentral:rRNA from 1 species
AUACGUAGGUGGCAAGCGUUGUCCGGAUUUACUGGGCGUAAAGGGAGCGUAGGCGGAGUUUUAAGUGAGAUGUGAAAUACCCGGGCUUAACCUGGGUGCUGCAUUCCAAACUGGAUAUCUAGAGUGCAGGAGAGGAAAGGAGAAUUCCUAGUGUAGCGGUGAAAUGCGUAGAGAUUAGGAAGAAUACCAGUGGCGAAGGCGCCUUUCUGGACUGUAACUGACACUGAGGCUCGAAAGCGUGGGGAGCAAACAGGAUUAGAUACCUUGGUAGUCCACGCCGUAAACGAUGGAUACUAGGUGUAGGAGGGUCCAACCUUCUGUGCCGCCGCAAACGCAUUAAGUAUCCCGCCUGGGGAGUACGGUCGCAAGAUUAAA